CGUUAUAACCGGCGAUUUCCGAAUGGGGAAACCCAGUGUGAUUCGUCACACUAUCAUUAACUGAAUCCAUAGGUUAAUGAGGCGAACCGGGGGAACUGAAACAUCUAAGUACCCCGAGGAAAAGAAAUCAACCGAGAUUCCCCCAGUAGCGGCGAGCGAACGGGGAGGAGCCCAGAGCCUGAAUCAGUGUGUGUGUUAGUGGAAGCGUCUGGAAAGGCGCGCGAUACAGGGUGACAGCCCCGUACACAAAAAUGCACAUAUUGUGAGCUCGAUGAGUAGGGCGGGACACGUGGUAUCCUGUCUGAAUAUGGGGGGACCAUCCUCCAAGGCUAAAUACUCCUGACUGACCGAUAGUGAACCAGUACCGUGAGGGAAAGGCGAAAAGAACCCCGGCGAGGGGAGUGAAAAAGAACCUGAAACCGUGUACGUACAAGCAGUGGGAGCCUCUUAAUGGGGUGACUGCGUACCUUUUGUAUAAUGGGUCAGCGACUUAUAUUCUGUAGCAAGGUUAACCGAAUAGGGGAGCCGAAGGGAAACCGAGUCUUAACUGGGCGUUAAGUUGCAGGGUAUAGACCCGAAACCCGGUGAUCUAGCCAUGGGCAGGUUGAAGGUUGGGUAACACUAACUGGAGGACCGAACCGACUAAUGUUGAAAAAUUAGCGGAUGACUUGUGGCUGGGGGUGAAAGGCCAAUCAAACCGGGAGAUAGCUGGUUCUCCCCGAAAGCUAUUUAGGUAGCGCCUCGUGAAUUCAUCUCCGGGGGUAGAGCACUGUUUCGGCAAGGGGGUCAUCCCGACUUACCAACCCGAUGCAAACUGCGAAUACCGGAGAAUGUUAUCACGGGAGACACACGGCGGGUGCUAACGUCCGUCGUGAAGAGGGAAACAACCCAGACCGCCAGCUAAGGUCCCAAAGUCAUGGUUAAGUGGGAAACGAUGUGGGAAGGCCCAGACAGCCAGGAUGUUGGCUUAGAAGCAGCCAUCAUUUAAAGAAAGCGUAAUAGCUCACUGGUCGAGUCGGCCUGCGCGGAAGAUGUAACGGGGCUAAACCAUGCACCGAAGCUGCGGCAGCGACACUAUGUGUUGUUGGGUAGGGGAGCGUUCUGUAAGCCUGUGAAGGUGGCCUGUGAGGGUUGCUGGAGGUAUCAGAAGUGCGAAUGCUGACAUAAGUAACGAUAAAGCGGGUGAAAAGCCCGCUCGCCGGAAGACCAAGGGUUCCUGUCCAACGUUAAUCGGGGCAGGGUGAGUCGACCCCUAAGGCGAGGCCGAAAGGCGUAGUCGAUGGGAAACAGGUUAAUAUUCCUGUACUUGGUGUUACUGCGAAGGGGGGACGGAGAAGGCUAUGUUGGCCGGGCGACGGUUGUCCCGGUUUAAGCGUGUAGGCUGGUUUUCCAGGCAAAUCCGGAAAACCAAGGCUGAGGCGUGAUGACGAGGCACUACGGUGCUGAAGCGACAAAUGCCCUGCUUCCAGGAAAAGCCUCUAAGCAUCAGGUAACAUCAAAUCGUACCCCAAACCGACACAGGUGGUCAGGUAGAGAAUACCAAGGCGCUUGAGAGAACUCGGGUGAAGGAACUAGGCAAAAUGGUGCCGUAACUUCGGGAGAAGGCACGCUGAUAUGUAGGUGAAGCGACUUGCUCGUGGAGCUGAAAUCAGUCGAAGAUACCAGCUGGCUGCAACUGUUUAUUAAAAACACAGCACUGUGCAAACACGAAAGUGGACGUAUACGGUGUGACGCCUGCCCGGUGCCGGAAGGUUAAUUGAUGGGGUUAGCGGUAACGCGAAGCUCUUGAUCGAAGCCCCGGUAAACGGCGGCCGUAACUAUAACGGUCCUAAGGUAGCGAAAUUCCUUGUCGGGUAAGUUCCGACCUGCACGAAUGGCGUAAUGAUGGCCAGGCUGUCUCCACCCGAGACUCAGUGAAAUUGAACUCGCUGUGAAGAUGCAGUGUACCCGCGGCAAGACGGAAAGACCCCGUGAACCUUUACUAUAGCUUGACACUGAACAUUGAGCCUUGAUGUGUAGGAUAGGUGGGAGGCUUUGAAGUGUGGACGCCAGUCUGCAUGGAGCCGACCUUGAAAUACCACCCUUUAAUGUUUGAUGUUCUAACGUUGGCCCGUAAUCCGGGUUGCGGACAGUGUCUGGUGGGUAGUUUGACUGGGGCGGUCUCCUCCUAAAGAGUAACGGAGGAGCACGAAGGUUGGCUAAUCCUGGUCGGACAUCAGGAGGUUAGUGCAAUGGCAUAAGCCAGCUUGACUGCGAGCGUGACGGCGCGAGCAGGUGCGAAAGCAGGUCAUAGUGAUCCGGUGGUUCUGAAUGGAAGGGCCAUCGCUCAACGGAUAAAAGGUACUCCGGGGAUAACAGGCUGAUACCGCCCAAGAGUUCAUAUCGACGGCGGUGUUUGGCACCUCGAUGUCGGCUCAUCACAUCCUGGGGCUGAAGUAGGUCCCAAGGGUAUGGCUGUUCGCCAUUUAAAGUGGUACGCGAGCUGGGUUUAGAACGUCGUGAGACAGUUCGGUCCCUAUCUGCCGUGGGCGCUGGAGAACUGAGGGGGGCUGCUCCUAGUACGAGAGGACCGGAGUGGACGCAUCACUGGUGUUCGGGUUGUCAUGCCAAUGGCACUGCCCGGUAGCUAAAUGCGGAAGAGAUAAGUGCUGAAAGCAUCUAAGCACGAAACUUGCCCCGAGAUGAGUUCU
rnacentral:rRNA from 1 species